GUAAGUGUAUCUUAACGGUAAAGUAAAAACCUUCCAAGUUUUUUAAGAGGGUUCGAUUCCCUCCACUUACA
rfam:Candidatus Nasuia deltocephalinicola str. NAS-ALF, complete genome.